rnacentral:rRNA from 1 species
AUAUAGACUGGGAUAACAGAGGGAAACUUCUGAUAAUACUGGAUAAGUUAGUAGUAGCAUUACUAAGUAAUGAAAAGGUAGCAAUACGCUAUAUGAGAGCUUUUGCAUCCUAUUAGCUAGUUGGUGGGGUAAAAGCCCUACCAAGGCGAUGAUAGGUAGCCGGCCUGAGAGGGUGGACGGCCACAAGGGGACUGAGAUACGGCCCUUACUCCUACGGGAGGCAGCAGUGGGGAAUAUUGGACAAUGGAGGCAACUCUGAUCCAGCAAUUCUGUGUGUGUGAAGAAGGUUUUAGGACUGUAAAACACUUUUAGUAGGGAAGAAAGAAAUGACGGUACCUACAGAAGAAGCGACGGCUAAAUACGUGCCAGCAGCCGCGGUAAU